ACGGAGGGUGCAAGCGUUAAUCGGAAUCACUGGGCGUAAAGCGCGCGUAGGCGGCUUUUUAAGUCGGACGUGAAAGCCCUCGGCUCAACCGGGGAACUGCGUUCGAAACUGGGAAGCUUGAGUCCUGGAGAGGGUGGCGGAAUUCCGCGUGUAGGGGUGAAAUCCGUAGAUAUCCGGAGGAACACCGGUGGCGAAGGCAGCCUCCUGGGCAGGUACUGACGCUGAGGCGCGAAAGCGUGGGGAGCAAACAG
rnacentral:rRNA from 1 species